rnacentral:piRNA from 1 species
UGUUUUUGUCUUCAGUUUUUGUGCCAUUA